GAUGAACGCUGGCGGCGUGCCUAACACAUGCAAGUCGACCGACCGAACAGUAAGAGGUUGCUCUUACGGGUGGCGAGGGGCGGGGGGGUAAGGAAUGCAUAGCUAUCUAUUAUUUCGGGGUGAAUUACGGAAAGCGGAGUAAAAUAACGCCGCAUAUGUGCAACGGGUGGUUGCAAAGGAUAAAAGGGCCUUGCGGGAAUGUAUGAGACGAUGCUGGAUUAGCUAGUUGGCAAGGUAACGGCCUACCAAGGCAACGAUGCAUAGCUGACCUGAGAGGGUGAUCGGCCACACUGGAACUGAGACACGGUCCAGACUCCUACGGGAGGCAGCAGUAGGGAAUCUUCCGCAAUGGGCGAAAGCCUGACGGAGCCACGCCGCGUGAGUGAUGAAGGUCUUCGGAUCGUAAAACUCUUUUAUUAGGGAAGAACAGAUGUGUAAGUAACUGUGCCCAUCUUGACGGUACCUAAUCAGAAAGCCCCGGCUAACUACGUG
rnacentral:rRNA from 1 species